GAUGAACGCUGGCGGCGUGCUUAACACAUGCAAGUCGAACGGACGGAGGGAGCUUGCUCCCAAAGUUAGUGGCGGACGGGUGAGUAACGCGUGGGUAACCUACCCUAUGCAGGGGGAUAACAUUUGGAAACAAAUGCUAAUACCGCAUAACCUAAGAGUUUCGCAUGAAACACUUAGCAAAGAUUUAUCGGCAUAGGAUGGACCCGCGUUGGAUUAGCUAGUUGGUGAGAUAAUAGCCCACCAAGGCAACGAUCCAUAGCCGGCCUGAGAGGGUGAAAGGCCAGAGUGGGAGUGAGAGACGGGCGAGGCUCCCACGGGAGGCAGCGGGAGGGAAGAAUGCACAAGGGGAGCAAGCCUGAUUCAGCGACGCCGAGUGAAGGAUGAAUGUCUUCGGAUUGUAGACUUCUAUCAGCAGGGUAGAAUACCAUGACGGUACCUGACUAAGAAGCUCCGGCUAACGACGUGCCAGCAGCCGCCGUAACAC
rnacentral:rRNA from 1 species